UACUCCUACAAUUCACAUUAGCCCAAUAACGAAUUUCUUUCUUCCUUGAAUGCUUUCUUUUAUUUAUUUUUUACUUUUAAAUGGAUAUUCUAAGAGGAGGGGACAAUGGAAAGCUGCAACACAAUCCCAGGAGUUCUUUAGGACUCUUAAACGAUAUUACAACAAUGCUUACAUGAUACUGAGAAGAAAAAUGCAAUUAACAUGUAUGUGGCACGUUGUAUUUCUUAACUAUUUAUUGAUUUUUACUUUAAUUGUUUGUGUACGGUAAUACCAUUUCCAUAUAUUUUU